CGCGUAGGCGGUCUCUAAAGUCAGAUGUGAAAGCCCGGGGCUUAACCCCGGAAGUGCAUUUGAAACUCAGGGACUUGAGUAUGGGAGAGGGAAGUGGAAUUUCUGGUGUAGCGGUGAAAUGCGUAGAUAUCAGGAGGAACACCAGUGGCGAAGGCGACUUCCUGGACCAAUACUGACGCUGAGGCGCGAAGGCGUGGGGAGCAAACAGGAUUAGAUACCCUGGUAGUCC
rnacentral:rRNA from 1 species